rnacentral:rRNA from 1 species
UACGUAGGUGGCAAGCGUUGUCCGGAAUUACUGGGUGUAAAGGGAGCGUAGGCGGGAUGUCAAGUCAGAAGUGAAAAUUAUGGGCUCAACUCAUAACCUGCUUUUGAAACUGUGUGACUGGAGUGCAGGAGAGGUAAGCGGAAUUCCUGGUGUAGCGGUGAAAUGCGUAGAUAUCAGGAGGAACACCAGUGGCGAAGGCGGCUUACUGGACUGUAACUGACGUUGAGGCUCGAAAGCGUGGGGAGCAAACAGG